AAAGUGGAUUUAGCGAUCGCUCUCCGUGCUCACGCACGAGGGGAGGAAAGUCCGGACUCCACAGGACAGGGUGGCCGUUAACGGCGGCCUCGAGUGAUCGGGGGAAAGUACCACAGAAAACAUACCGCCUGGCGCUUCGGCGACGGGUAAGGUUGAAAAGGCGAGGUAAGAGCUCACCGGUUCGCCAGCGAUGGUGAACGCAUGGCAAACCCCACCUGGAGCAAGGCCAAAUAGGAGGGUUGGGUAGUCCGCCCAUAGCCCUCGGGUAUGGUCGCUCGACCCCUUGAGCAAUCAAGGGGCAAGAUGAAUGAUCGCUGUGACUCGAGUUAUGGGUCACAACAGAAUCCGGCUUACCAAUCCACUUUAGCC
rnacentral:RNase_P_RNA from 1 species